UAUGGCCUUCUGCUGUUAAACAAAGGCAAGUAAUGGAACAUUUCGAAAGGAGCAGAUGCAGUCUUUUUCCAUUUGAUGUGGGAUGUGUAGAUGGGACGCAUUUCAACAUCUCGCUUCCAAAAAAUGAUGCGAUUAGUUACUACAGUGAAACCUCGAUAAGUCGUAACCUCGAUAAGCGAAAAACCUUGAUAUUUCAUAGUAUUUCUUCGGUCCCUAGAAAAAUUCGCGAAAAAUGCAUGUAUUUCGGUCCCUUUGAUAACUCGUAUUUUUCUUGAGACAAAAAUUGAAAAAUGUGUAUCAAAAGCCUCUACAACUCGUAUUUUUUCCUCAAAAGCCUCUACAAUUCGUAUUUUUUUUCACAAAAAACCGUACGUGACGAAAACAUAGUACAUAUGUACAAUCAUUUCUUGUUUUUUAUGUAAAAUUGAAAAAAUAAAUAAAAAAAAACUCUAUAAUUCGUAUAUUCUAUAUGUUGUAUAACUUGAUAACUUGAAAAACUCCACAACUCGUAUUUAAAUUGUGGUCCCUUGCAAAUACGAAUUAUCGAAGUUUCACUGUACAACCGAAAAGGAAAUCAUACAAUUAUUUUGCAGGCCAUACGUGACAGUAAAUUUCGCUUUCUGGAUGUAUUUAUUGGAUGUCCAGGCAGUUGCCAUGAUGCUCAUGUAUGGAAAACUAGCCCUAUUUAUAAAGGAAUUAUUUCCGGUGAAGUGGAACUUGCUGAAAAUGCAGUCAUUUUAGGAGAUUCUGCCUAUCCUUUAUCAAAAUUCCUGCUUACACCUUACAGAGAUAAUGGGCAUUUAAGAUCGGAAGAAAUUAACUUUAAUUACUGCUUAAGCUCAACUCGUGUUUUUAUCGAGCAGUCGUAUGGGAUUUUGAAACAAAAGUUUAAAAUACUAAAUUAUAUAAACUUGAGGUCAGUCAAAAAACCAUCAAUGGUAAUAUUUGCCUGUACAAUAUUGCACAACUUUAUUAUAAAUAGAGAAAACCCUUCGGAAUAUCUUGUUGGAUUACCAGAAAAUAAUAACGUCAUAAAUGAAGAAACUGAAAAUCACCUUAGUACUUCACUGGCACCUCAAGAAAAUGACGAUUUAUAUGGAAUUGCUAUAAGGCGCAAUUUGACAACGUUGUUUUGUUCUUAAAUAAAUAUAAGUAAAAUACUUAUGAGUGGAA